rnacentral:rRNA from 1 species
GCUAAACCAUGCACCGAAGCUGCGGCAGCGACGCUUAUGCGUUGUUGGGUAGGGGAGCGUUCUGUAAGCCUGCGAAGGUGGCCUGUGAGGGUUGCUGGAGGUAUCAGAAGUGCGAAUGCUGACAUAAGUAACGAUAAAGCGGGUGAAAAGCCCGCUCGCCGGAAGACCAAGGGUUCCUGUCCAACGUUAAUCGGGGCAGGGUGAGUCGACCCCUAAGGCGAGGCCGAAAGGCGUAGUCGAUGGGAAACGGGUUAAUAUUCCCGUACUUGGUGUUACUGCGAAGGGGGGACGGAGAAGGCUAUGUUGGCCGGGCGACGGUU